GGAUUAGAUACCCCGGUAGUCCCAGCUGUAAAUAAUGCGGACUGUGGUGUUGCUUCAGAGUUAAUCUGCAGCAGUGCUGUAGCGUAGGUGUUAAGUCCGCCGCCUGGGGAGUACGGCCGCAAGGUUGAAACUUAAAGGAAUUGGCGGGGGAGCACCACAAGGGGUGGAUGCUACGGUUUAAUUGGAUACAACGCCGUGAACUUCACCAAGGGCGACGGCAGAAUGAAGGUCAGACUAAAGAUCUUGCCUAACAAGCCGAGAGGUGUUGCAUGGCCAUCGUCAGCUCGUGGCGUGAGUUGUCUGGUUAAGUCCAGCAACGAGCGAGACCCAUACCAUUAAUUGCUACUUUUACCUUUAGUAAGAGGCACCUUAAUGGGACUGCCCGCGUUAAGUGGGAGGAAGGAGUGGGCGACGGUAGGUCAGUAUGGCCCGAAUCCCUUGGGCUACACGCGGCAUACAAUGGCUGGAACAAUGGGUUGCUACUCCGAGAGGAGGCGCUAAUCCCCUAAAUCCAGUCUUAGUUCGGAUUGAGGGUUGAAACUCACCCUCAUGAAGCUGGAAUCCCUAGUAAUCGCGUGUCAUCAUCGCGCGGUGAAUACGUCCCCGCUCCUUGCACACACCGCCCGUCAAGUCACCCAAAUGUGGUGUAGGUGAGGCUCCGGUUUCUGCCGGAUUCGAACCUAUGUUGCGUGAGGGGGGCUAAGUCGUAACAAGGUAUCCGUAGGGGAACCUGCGGAUAGAUCACCUCCAAAU
rnacentral:rRNA from 1 species